rnacentral:lncRNA from 1 species
AUGCACCUACAGUGUCAGCUAUGCAGGCUACAUCAAGCAGGGGUGGAUUUUUUUACAUGUCAUAUUGUAGUGAUAUCACAAAGGUAUCUUUUCACGGCCAGUAUUGACAUGAGAAAUGAUGACAGCAAUCAACAACCAGUGUCUUUAAUAUACGUAUGCCGUACAUAUUUUCUACAUUAAUGGACAAAGCGCUAUUCAGUAUUGCCUCUCAUUCACUAAUUCAGGCGCUGGCCUGCCGUUCUGGAGCAACUUGGAGUUCACCAACAUAGCUGGUGGAUCAAACCACCAACCCUGGGAUUACGAACUGCUCUACUUCAUGGAGGUACUGAGUACUGAGAAAUCCAACCCUAUCUUUUAAAUUCUGUUUCAUUUAAACAUCAUAUCAGACAUCUCAAUUAUCACCAAACUCAAAAUAUCAAACUCUAAAUCACCGCAAAAACGUGUACAGAUCCAGCUUCGAUUUGAAUUGUAGCAGAAAUCCAGUUGAGGCAGUCUCUCUAUCUGUCCUGGAUUAUUUUGAUAUAAU